rnacentral:rRNA from 1 species
AGAGUUUGAUCAUGGCUCAGAUUGAACGCUGGCGGAAUGCUUUACACAUGCAAGUCGAACGGCAGCACGGGGCAACCUGGUGGCGAGUGGCGAACGGGCGAGUAAUACAUCGGAACGUGCCCAAUCGUGGGGGAUAACGUAGCGAAAGUUACGCUAAUACCGCAUACGAUCUACGGAUGAAAGCGGGGGAUCGCAAGACCUCGCGCGAGUGGAGCGGCCGAUGUCAGAUUAGGUAGUUGGUGGGGUAAAGGCUCACCAAGCCAACGAUCUGUAGCUGGUCUGAGAGGACGACCAGCCACACUGGAACUGAGACACGGUCCAGACUCCUACGGGAGGCAGCAGUGGGGAAUUUUGGACAAUGGGCGCAAGCCUGAUCCAGCCAUUCCGCGUGCAGGAUGAAGGCCUUCGGGUUGUAAACUGCUUUUGUACGGAACGAAACGGCGAGCUCUAAUACAGUUUGCUAAUGACGGUACCGUAAGAAUAAGCACCGGCUAACUACGUG